CAUGCGCAACCCGCGCGCCGUCGUCCCUGGCAACACUGGCUGCUCUAGCGCCUGGCGGGGUCUCACGGGCGGGCCUGGGCGCACGGCCAAAGCGCCAGGUCUCCACCCCCAGCCCCCGGCGUCCUGCAGCCGGAGCCUGCCUCGCCUGGCUCCUGCGCCCGCCGUCCAGGGCCCCUGUCCAAGCUCGCGGACGCCGGCGGCGUUUUCCAGCUCGAGUGCUCAGCCUAGGGCAGGCUCUGCGUGCGCCCCCUCGAGUGCCGGCCUGGGCCCUGCCAGGCAGAGGCGCUCUUGCGUCAGGACGGCGCCGCCGGGGCCCCGCGAUUCCAACUCGGGGGUCCCGGAGCGGCGCGGGGCGGGGACGGCCUGGCAGCUCCCAGCAGCGAGGGGCGAUCCCCGCCCGCGCAGCAGACCCCGAGCUGCCCAGGCCCUUCCUGCGCCACGUGUACCCAGAGCUCCGCCCGGGGGAGACUUCGCUGCUUGUUGGAGAUGCCCAGCGGUAGGGGGCGAGGACUCGGGAGGAAGAUAAACGGGGGAUCCCGUGUCUGGACUUUCUCCUCCACCCUCUUCCCUUCGCAGCUGUGAAUCCUGGGAGGGGAAGGGUGGCCGCCCCGCCAGCAGGAGAGCUGAAGGUGUUCCGUGGUCAGUGAGGGCUGGCACUGGCUCUGCACGAAGAUCUCCUCACCUCCCCAGCGGCUCCUGGCCAGCUCCCCACGGAGAGCCCAGGACACUUGUCCCUGGACACAGUGGUGCAGCCAUGCUUGGGCCAAACCAUGAGGCCACCAGAACCGCGAAAGGCUACUGUACUGAGAGGGAUACUGCGAGAGAGGCCCACAGGUUUCCAAGCAUCCCUCUCACUCCGCACACUCAUCUCCACGACCGGCUUUAAGUGCGGCCUUGAGGCCUGGCUCCCUGUUUGGACUUCUCUGCACCUCCAGGAGCUCACUUCCCGUCACAGCUGGAUGCCUCCUCCCGCAGGCACCUCCCGGGCAUCCUCCCGCCCCAGGCUGCACCUUCUGUGGGACUGGCCCCCGCAGGCACCUCCCGGGCACCCUCCCGCCCCAGGCUGCAGCUUCUGUGGGACUGAGCCCCGCAGGCACCUCCCCGGCAUCCUCCCGCCCCAGGCUGCACCUUCUGUGGGACUGAGCCCCGCAGGCACUUCCCCGGCAUCCUCCCGCCCCAGGCUGCAGCUUCUGUGGGACUGACCUUAAGACCCCAUCGGUUCCUCCUGAGAGCAGCAGAUCUCAGCCAGAUGCUGCCGGGAGGGAGGUGCUAGCGUCCACACCCAGACGGGUCCAGUCCAGCCCUGCUCUCCCUGGUCUCCAGGCAGGGCCCUCCCAGGGUGGACAUUGCCCAUCUCUGCCUGGCCAGGGGCUGCUGACCCACUGGUUCCAGAGUCUGAGCCUGUCCUGCACAAGUACCAUGGACAGGGGUCAGCCGGGCACUGAAGAGGCGUGGCAGAAUUGGGCAGGGCAAGGGCCCCAGCUGGCAAGCUGGAGUCAGGGCAAUUCCAACCAAGAAACUGCGGCAGGCCGGGUGCAGUGUCUCAAGCCUAUAAUCCCAGCACUUUGGGAGGCAGUGGGAGAAUCGCUUGAGCCCGGGAGUUUGAGACCAGCAUUGGUAACAUAGAGACCCUAUCGCUACAAGAAAAAAAAAAAAAAAAAGCUGGGCAUGGUGGUGCACACCUGUUGUCCCAGCUAUUCAGGAGGCUGACGUGGGAGGAUUGCUUGUGCCCAGGGGUUGCAGGCUGCAGUGAGCUGUGAUCAUACCACUGCACUCCAGCCUGGGCGACAGAGAACCUCUCUAAAAAAAAAGGAAAAUGAAAAAUAAAUGGGGGCAGAAGCUGAGCCAAGCAGAGGCGGGCAGCUCCUCCUCCAGGGCCCACCUGGCCUGCUGGGGA
rnacentral:lncRNA from 1 species